rnacentral:piRNA from 1 species
UGAGGAUGAUGAGCAGGAGUUGUUC